GGGAGACCCGUCGGUUGGUUUGAGGAGAGAGAGCGACAUGGGUCGAGGAGAGAGAGACCCAUGUUUAGAUUUUUAUUUUUUUUUUAAUUGUAAAAUUACGUGGAGGUCGACUCCAAUGACCGAUAAAGGUGGUCUAAAGGAAUUAAACAAGUACUAAACAAAUAAACAAAAGAGACUGAAAAAAUGCUCCCAUUCCUAAUUUCAGUCGUAUACCCCUUUCUCUCAUUCGAUUUUUCUCACAAAUUGAAAUUCAACCAAACUCUCUUUCCUCAAACAGAGCACACCCACAAAUCUUCAGAAUCUAAAAAUGCCCAAGCUCCAGGAGCUCGUCGUUUCGCCGAAUCGCUGCUGUGCCGGGAUCGAUGCCGCUGUGGUCGUCCCUCCCGGCGUCUCAGCACCGAAGCAUCAGCCGCUGCUCAUCCGUACCGUUUCACCCACAUCGCUGCCCCGAGUUCUCAAAUUUGAUUUCGGUUCUUUAAAAGGAUGCAGCAGUAUGAAAUCGGAUUUGGGUGGAAGGAGGUGUAUACCUUCGAAACUAAGAACAGCUGCUAGCAAACAAGAGGAAUUGAGGGCUCUCUCUCGGUUCUCCUCUUUUGUGGAAGAGAAGAAAAUACAGCAUAAUGGAUGUUGAAUUUACAGUGUGCCUCUUCUUUUUCUUUUAUUUUGGUAGGAGAUUUUUCAGGGAUGUUGGUGAAACCGUGUGAUGUUGGAAGGUGAAAAGAUUUGAAGUAAAAUUGGGCUGCAAAAUAGAAUUAGGAAGAAUUGGUUUUGGGCUUCACAAUUGACUUCAUUUAAUUUGAACAAUUGGGCUAUAUAUAGUAGGCCCAGUUAUUGGAUUUAAUUCCAAAUACUUGUAAACAUAAUUUCUAUUUUUCCAUUAACGAUACUCAUCGCACA